rnacentral:rRNA from 1 species
UACGUAGGGUGCGAGCGUUGUCCGGAUUUAUUGGGCGUAAAGAGCUCGUAGGCGGCUUGUCGCGUCGGAUGUGAAAGCCCGGGGCUUAACUCCGGGUCUGCAUUCGAUACGGGCGGGCUAGAGUGUGGUAGGGGAGAUCGGAAUUCCUGGUGUAGCGGUGAAAUGCGCAGAUAUCAGGAGGAACACCGGUGGCGAAGGCGGAUCUCUGGGCCAUUACUGACGCUGAGGAGCGAAAGCGUGGGGAGCAAACAGG